AGGCUUAACACAUGCAAGUCGAGCGCCCCGCAAGGGGAGCGGCAGACGGGUGAGUAACGCGUGGGAAUCUACCUUUUGCUACGGAAUAACGCAGGGAAACUUGUGCUAAUACCGUAUGUGUCCUUCGGGAGAAAGAUUUAUCGGCAAGAGAUGAGCCCGCGUUGGAUUAGCUAGUUGGUGGGGUAAAGGCCUACCAAGGCGACGAUCCAUAGCUGGUCUGAGAGGAUGAUCAGCCACAUUGGGACUGAGACACGGCCCAAACUCCUACGGGAGGCAGCAGUGGGGAAUAUUGGACAAUGGGCGCAAGCCUGAUCCAGCCAUGCCGCGUGAGUGAUGAAGGCCCUAGGGUUGUAAAGCUCUUUCACCGGAGAAGAUAAUGACGGUAUCCGGAGAAGAAGCCCCGGCUAACUUCGUGCCAGCAGCCGCGGUAAUACGAAGGGGGCUAGCGUUGUUCGGAAUUACUGGGCGUAAAGCGCACGUAGGCGGAUCGAUCAGUCAGGGGUGAAAUCCCAGGGCUCAACCCUGGAACUGCCUUUGAUACUG
rnacentral:rRNA from 1 species